CUGAGGACGAACCGCAGUCGACUUGCGCCAGCCCAGAGGCUGGGGAGGCGUCCGAGCCUCCGUCCCGCCUCGUCGUUGAAGAAGAAUCCUGAUCUGGGCUACCCUAUCUGUGCUUCUGGUGAGGUGGGCCCAGAACCAUCGUGUGAAUAAUGAUUGACCUCAGCUAGUGGUUCUCAUGGAGUGAUUGAUUUUGCUUCCCAGAGGACAUCAGCAAUGUCUGGAGACAUUUCCAGUUGUCACUACUUGAGAGGAAGCGUGAUCGGCCUCUAGAAGGGAGAGACCAGGGAUGCCGCUGCUCAAUAUCCUAUAAUGCACAGAACAGCUUCUACGACAAAGAGUUAUUCCACCAAAAAUGUCAGUAGUGCCAAGGUUGAGAGAACCUGCUCUAGGGUAAUCAGUGUGGUCCCAAUCUCCCUGUCAGUAACUGAUUCAACUCACAUAAUAAUCUUAUGGGAGUGUGAUGUAAUUCUAGCCAAUAAAAUGCAAUGGGAAGUUGGCCGAGAUACUUCUGAAAAAAUCUUCUCUUACCCCUAAAAAGAGACAUUCAUUUUCUGUUGAAAUGCAUUACUUUCCUAAAUAAAAUCAUAUUUACCAACAACGAGAAAAAGAGAAACAUGCAAGAAACCAUCUGUUUGCUGCUAGAUGCCAUUGUGUCUGCAAUGUGAUAUCUGGAACUAUGGCUGUCAUCCUGGAACCAUGAGAGGAGUUAGCUGAAGAAACAGGAGGAUGGCAAAGCGGAAGGAUGGAAGUUACCUGAGGCUGAGGACAUCAGUGCACCUCUGAUUUAACCAAUCCUUGAGACUUCUUGUUAUAUGAGAUAAUAAAUUCUAUUGCUAUUUAAGUCAUG
rnacentral:lncRNA from 1 species